AUUGAAAAUCCUUGUCCCAAUAUUGUUUCAUAUAUUUUCAGCAGGAUCUCUCACCGCAUACCAAAACAUAGACAAAGGCAUGUGUAGGUUACUAAUCAAAAACUAGUUGGAGAUGUAUUAAGUUUGUGAAGAGUUAUUUACUCAGGAUCUUGGUCAGGAUGCCAGAUAUAAGCACAAAAAUGUGUGUCCUCUGGUGUAAGUUGUGUUGCCUU
rnacentral:lncRNA from 1 species